rnacentral:rRNA from 1 species
GUCGAACGCUGGCGGCGUGCUUAACACAUGCAAGUCGAACGAAGUGGCGAACGGGUGAGUAACGCGUAAUCAACCUGCCCUUCAGGGGGGGACAACAGUUGGAAACGACUGCUAAUACCGCAUACUGAAGGAGGGGAUGGCGUCGGAUUAGCUGGUUGGGGGGGUAACGGCCCACACAGGCGAUGAUCAGGCGCCGGUUUGGUGGGAUGAACGGCCACAUUGGGAAUGAGAAACCGCCCAGACUCCCACUGGAGGCAGCAGGUGGGAAUCUUCCGCAAUGGACGAAAGGCUGACGGAGCAACUCCGCGUUGGUGAUGACGGCCUUCGGGUUGUAAAGCUCUUUUCAUCGGGACGCGGUACCGGAAUAGAAAGCCACGGCUAACUACGUGCCAGCCGCCGCGGUAAUUC